UUAUUGUGGUUAUAUAUACAUGGUUGUGGACUAUGUGAAUGAAUCAAUUAAUUUUCCUCUUUCACGCUUCUCCCUCUGUAAAAUAGAAACAGCUCCUCCUUUGUCUUCAAACUUAACACCGCCGGUCCUUUCCUUUGCACCAUUUCCGACCACCACAUACUCAAAACAGAAAAAACCAACAUCACCACUAUUAUCCUCUCUUUCCCCUCUUUCUUUGUGUCAAAUUUAUUUUAUGAUCGGAACACUUUCUACCGGCGACCACCGUACCGGAAAUCAUCACCAAAGUGCCGAAAUUACCUGAGACUGUCAUGAAAUCUUUUUGUAAUGGUUGAAAGUAUGAAUCGAAUAGGAGACAUCGUCGAGAGACGGAUUGUGCUCGCGUAAUGUAAGUUGAACGUGUGGGAAGCUUGCAAAGGCUGUUAGCAAUUGGGGAUAGUUAAGGUAUCCUGGUGUCGUGAAGACUUGCAAGAUGUGAAUGUCAUUGGCUAGGAGUUCAAGAUCAGCUUAGGGUUUUGUUUUAGAAUGUUGUCUGUGUUUGUUUGGGAAGUUUGUUGUUAAAGCUGAAUGCUUAAUUUGUGUGUGUGGUUUUGACCUUUACUUGUUGUCAAGUACUCUGUACGCAAUUAUAUUCAAGUGGUCAAAUAUUUUAUGACCUUGGGCAUUGCGCUGGGCCUAUUUAUGGAAAAGACUUAGACCGAAAAGCUCGUACUCUGUUUUAUCAUUUUUAUUAUUCCUAAAAGGAUAGUGGUCCAUAUUUUGUAAGGCAUUAAUUUUAAAAAAAAAAUACACUCGCGCUGUUAAAAAUCGGGGUGUUACACAUGCCUCGUACCAGGAA